rnacentral:rRNA from 1 species
GAUGAACGCUGGCGGCGUGCCUAAUACAUGCAAGUCGAGCGAACGGACGAGAAGCUUGCUUCUCUGAUGUUAGCGGCGGACGGGUGAGUAACAUGUAUAUAACCUACCUAUCAGACUGGGAUAACUUCGGGAAACCGGAGCUAAUACCGGAUGAUCUUUUGAACCGCAUGGUUCAAAGGUGAAAGACGGUCUUGCUGUCACUUAUCGCUGGAUCUGCGCUGCAUUAGCUAGUUGGUAAGGUAACGGCUUACCAAGGCAACUAUGCGUAGCCGACGUGAGAGAGGGGUAGCCCGCACUGGAACUUGACCACGCUCCUGACUCCUGCGGUAGGCAGCAGUAUGGAAUCGGCCGCAAUGGGCGGAAGCCUUACGGAGCGAGCCCACGUGUGAGAUGAAGGCGUUCGGUUCGUAAAACUCUGCUAUUGGGUAUAAACAGAUGUGUACGUAACUGUGCACAGCGUGACGGUACCUAAUCAGAAAGCCACGGCUAACUACGUG